AUACGUAGGGGGCGAGCGUUGUCUGGAAUGAUUGGGCGUAAAGGGCGCGUAGGCGGCCCGGUAAGUCUGGAGUGAAAGUCCUGUUUUUAAGAUGGGAAUUGCUUUGGAUACUGUCGGGCUUGAGUGCAGGAGAGGUAAGUGGAAUUCCCAGUGUAGCGGUGAAAUGCGUAGAGAUUGGGAGGAACACCAGUGGCGAAGGCGACUUACUGGACUGUAACUGACGCUGAGGCGCGAAAGUGUGGGGAGCAAACAGGAUUAGAUACCCUGGUAGUCCACACUGUAAACGGUGAAUGCUAGGUGCAGGGGGUAUCGACCCCUUCUGUGCCGCAGUCAACACAAUAAGCAUUCCGCCUGGGGAGUACGGCCGCAAGGUUGAAACUCAAAGGAAUUGACGGGG
rnacentral:rRNA from 1 species